AAAUUGAAGAGUUUGAUCAUGGCUCAGAUUGAACGCUGGCGGCAGGCCUAACACAUGCAAGUCGAACGGUAACAGGAAGCAGCUUGCUGCUUCGCUGACGAGUGGCGGACGGGUGAGUAAUGUCUGGGAAACUGCCUGAUGGAGGGGGAUAACUACUGGAAACGGUGGCUAAUACCGCAUAACGUCGCAAGACCAAAGAGGGGGACCUUCGGGCCUCUUGCCAUCAGAUGUGCCCAGAUGGGAUUAGCUUGUUGGUGAGGUAACGGCUCACCAAGGCGACGAUCCCUAGCUGGUCUGAGAGGAUGACCAGCCACACUGGAACUGAGACACGGUCCAGACUCCUACGGGAGGCAGCAGUGGGGAAUAUUGCACAAUGGGCGCAAGCCUGAUGCAGCCAUGCCGCGUGUAUGAAGAAGGCCUUCGGGUUGUAAAGUACUUUCAGCGGGGAGGAAGGUGUUGCGGUUAAUAACCGCAGC
rnacentral:rRNA from 1 species